rnacentral:rRNA from 1 species
AUCGUCGUCUAAGGUCCCUAAGCGUGUGCUAAGUGGGAAAGGAUGUGGAGUCGCAUAGACAGCCAGGAGGUUGGCUCAGAAGCAGCCACCCUUGAAAGAGUGCGUAACAGCUCACUGGUCUAGUGGUUCCGCGCCGACAAUGUAGCGGGGCUCAAGCACGCCACCGAAGACGCGGCAGUGUCUUUGACACUGGGUAGGAGAGCGUUCCGUCAGGGGCGAAGCGGCGGCGUAAGCCGGCCGUGGACUUGGCGGAAGUGAGAAUGCAGACAUGAGUAGCGAGAGACGGGUGAGGAUCCCGUCCGCUGGAUGACUGAGGUUUCCAGGGCCACGUUCAUCGUCCCUGGGUUAGUCGGGUCCUAAGGCGAGGCCGACAGGCGUAGUCGAAUGGAUGAACGGGUUGAUAUUCCCGUACCGGCGCAUGACCGACAGGCCCGAAAGUCGGGUACUAACCUUCGUCCCGUUUGAGGGUUCCCUUCGGGGUUCCCGAUGGCGGGGGGCUGGGACAGACCUUCCGGUAGGGCAGCGCAGGAGUGACGCAGAGGAGUAGCCGGCCGCGGCGGUGGUAGUCCGUGGUCAAGCGUGCAGCCCGCAUCCCAGGCAAAUCCGGGGUGCGUGAGGGCGAGGCGCGAUGGUGGGGCCCGUUGGGGUCGAUAUCCGGUGAUCCCCUCUGCCGAGAAAAGCUUCGGCGCGAGGGCAUGCGGCGCCCGUACCGCAAACCGACACAGGUGGUCAGGUAGAGAAUACCAAAGCGAUCGAGCGAAUCCUGGUCAAGGAACUCGGCAAAUUACUCCCGUGCCUUCGGUAUAAGGGAGACCCCUUGGGGUGAACCAGCUUGCCUGGGGAGCCUUGGGGGGUGGCACAGACCAGGGGGUAGCGACUGUUUACCAAAAACACAGGUGCAUGCGAAGGCGUAAGCCGCUGUAUAUGCACUGACGCCUGCCCGGUGCCGGAAGGUUAAGAGGAUCCGUCAUCCCUCCUCGUGAGGGGGCAGCGGUGAAUUCAAGCCCCGGUAAACGGCGGUGGUAACUAUAACCAUCCUAAGGUAGCGAAAUUCCUUGUCGGGUAAGUUCCGACCUGCACGAAUGGCGUAACGACUUCCCCACUGUCUCGACCAGGAGCUCGGCGAAAUUGCAGUACGAGUAAAGAUGCUCGUUAAGCGCAGAAGGACGAAAAGACCCCGGGACCUUUACUAUACCUUGGUAUUGUCAUUAGGUUCGGACUGUGUAGCAUAGGCGGGAGGCUUUGAAGCGCGGACGCUAGUUCGUGUGGAGCCGGAAGGUGAAAUACCGCUCUGUCCGUAUUUGAUGUCUAACCUCGACAAGUCAUCCUUGUCAGGGACAGUGCCUGGCGGGUAGUUUAACUGGGGCGGUUGCCUCCCAAAGAGUAACGGAGGCGCCCAAGGGUCCGCUCAGCCCGGUUGGCAAUCGGGUGUUGAGUGCAAUCGCACAAGCGGGCUUGACUGUGAGACUGACGGGUCGAGCAGGGACGAAAGUCGGAGAUAGUGAUCCGGUGCCGGCGUACGGACGCGGCAUCGCUCAACGGAUAAAAGGUACCCCGGGGAUAACAGGCUGAUCAUCCCCAAGAGUCCAUAUCGACGGGAUGGUUUGGCACCUCGAUGUCGGCUCGUCGCAUCCUGGGGCUGUAGCAGGUCCCAAGGGUUCGGCCGUUCGCCGAUUAAAGCGGCACGCGAGCUGGGUUCAGAACGUCGUGAGACAGUUUGGUCUCUAUCCUCUGCGCUCGUUGGAAUCUUGAGGAGGCCUGCCCAUAGUACGAGAGGACCUGGGUGGACAAACCUCUGGUAUGCCGGUUGUCGCGCCAGCGGCACGGCCGGUUAGCUACGUUUGGAAGGGAUAACCGCUGAAAGCAUCUAAGCGGGAAGCCUGCUCCAAGAUUAGGAUUCCGUGGGGUUUUCGGACCCCUGUAGGCCCCAGGCUAGAACACCUGGUUGAUAGGCCGGACGUGGAAGCCCCGUGAGGGGUGGAGCUGACCGGUACUAAUGGCCGACGGGCAAUACACG